rnacentral:tRNA from 1 species
GAUAUAGUCGAGUGGUAGAAUACUUGCUUAGAGUGCAGGAUAUGGAAGGCCCUGGGUUCAAUCCCCAGUAAAACA